GACAACCCAAAGCAUGCCUUCAGUACGCACCAGCGCUUCUGUUUUUAAGCCUGCUGAGAGAAUUAACAUUCAAGAGCUGUGCAUAUUCAGGCUGCUGACUGCAUAUUACACAAUAUUAUCAGACAUUCUCCUACACAGAGCAGCACUGUUGGCCCACCCGGUGCUUCAGGAGGUUCCAACACAAGCCGCCAGAGAAAGGGACCUAUCAAGAUUUGGGUGAUGAGAGAAAUGGUAGCACAUGGUAACAGAGGAAGACAGACUGGAUAUUCUUUUCAGGCUGAAUCAAUAAAAAGCUUUGACAGAGUGAGACAUGAUUUUCCUUUAUUUGAAGUGUUGCAGGUCUACAGAUCUCCAAGCAAUUUGUUCAGUGUAUGGAACAAUGCAAAGAGUAUUCCCACCCUGAACAGCUGGGAAAGGAGAUGUGAAAAUCAAGGAGGGAGCCAGUGACUCAACAUAUAACACCCCGAAGCAAGUCUAUUCUUCCUUUGAAAUGCAAAACUUCAAAAUCUGAAGAUAACUACUCAGAGCUCCCUGAUGUCUUCUCCAAGUCUUCCGGUAGAUCUAUUUCCAUAUAAGGUAACUCCUCUUGGGAUGAGAGUUUAGCAAAUAAAAAUAUAGGCUGCCUAGUUGAAUUUGAGUUUCAGAUUAACAUGGACUACUUUUUUAGUAUAAGUAGUCUCCGUGUAAUAUUUGAGACAUACUUAUAUAAAAAAGUAGUCCAUGUUUAUCUGGGCAUACUGUAUUUUGGCUAGCAACUAAACUGUGAAUGCAAAUGUUUUUAGAAAUGUAAUGCCUAGAACUUGAGAUAGUAUUCCUGUUGAACACUGAAGUAGAACUCAAGUGGGGUGAGAGAGAGUGGUGGGGAAAUGACAAGGGGAAAGAGGGGGGACAUCUGCACCUCUGCACCCCUCCCUAUCAUGCUUCUGUGUGAAGAAGGUAAAGUGCCCUCCGGUGAGGGCCAAAGCCCCCUCCCUGUCUCGGGGCACAAGGUCAGGCCAGGGUUAAAAUAUCCUCUGACCUCUGGGAGCCCCCUCUAGCUAUUCCCUAACCUCUGAUGUGGUGGCCCUUCUUUAUCGUAAUGAAUUCUGCUGUCUCUGUUCAUUGUAGGAGGUAUUUUCAGCUGGAUGAUAGCAUAUUCGCAGAAUACUAGACACACCUCUCUUGAGCUUGCACACCUCUCUUAUCUACUUAACUCUCUUUCAGUUUCCUCUGCUCUUCUGGCACCAGUCUUCUCCUUCCUCCGUGGCAUCCCAGGUCUUCUGAUACACUGGACUUGAUUUUAAGCUCCUCUAGGGCAAGGACUAUGUAUGUUAACAUCCUUAAUGUAACGAUAAUGGUAGAGCUUUUACUGUAAGAGCCUUGCCUCAUUCCGUUCUCAGGUUCUGUCCUGGUCUCUCUCACCACAGUGUCCUCGCCAGUGUAAGUGCUGCUGGCAGUGAGUGCUCAGGAGACACCUUUGGCCUGGCAGAAGUGGUACCAGAAGCAGUUUGCAUCAUCUAAAAACACUUUCUCCAGUAUCUCCCAUUUCAGUCUUCUAGGCCAGAGGUCAGAAAGCGCAGGACCAGGACCAUGCUUAACCUGUUCCAACCAGAUGAGGCCCUGCUUUUGAAGCUCCUCAGGGGGGCCUUCCACAACUUGCCCCAGGGCCUCACCAGUACUGAACUGCGCUCACUCAUCACUACAGCGCUCACUCAUCACUAAACAAAGGCUUCCUCUCCCACCCCUCCCUUUUAACUCUUAAUCCCAUUCUCUAAUUCUAUGACUAACUCUUAAAUUCUUUGUGAUUAGUAAUCCCGUUUAACUUCAGUAGGGGAUUUAGACACCUGGAAACCAGAGACUAUUAUAAUGAAAUUGGUAAGUAGAAUGAAAUGUUGCCCUGGAACUCACUCUUUCCUUGACUGGUCUGCUUGAGGAGGUCCAGGUCAUCUGGAGACUGUGUGUGAAUGGGCUGGUGGAGGUGGCCAAGCUAACACACCAAAUCUAGGGGUAUCUUAGAACAAUCAGCAGUCCCUGGGGUCUUGUACCAUUUUCAUUCUCAACUUUAAAUAAUAGUAAGAUGAUCUUACGGUUUCAGCAGGGAAACCCAGGGCCUCUGGGGGGCACUGUGAUCUCCAAGGUAAGGCCUGGCAGGGCUCACCUCCUUGGGGCUGGAUGUGGAUCAGAGUUGCUGGACUGGGAGGCUGCUUGCCUCAGGCAAGCCCAUAGACCAGUGAAACUGAGAACAAUUGGCUGAAGCAAAAGUCUUACCUGUGUAAGAGGUUACUCACUCUGAAAAUAAUCUUUCACAAUGAAAGCGUCAUCAGAUUCCAGAGUCAUAAAUUAACAAAUUGUGCUGGUCUGUGGUGACUGCUAUAUUUCUUUACUUAGAAAUGUAUCUUAUCCUUUGGUAGUCAGGGCUAUGCAAAGGGUGUGGUGGUUAUGACCAACUGUCUGGAGUUAUUAAUUUUUGCUCAUUUUCUGCUACAAGAACGGCUGUCUUGGGCUGACUCUCAUGAUACAGCUGACUGCCUGCCACCAACAGGCUAUCCACUUUAGCCCUCAUUCAACUUGCCCUGCCUGGACAGUCUUAUUUAUUCUCUCCAUUUCAACUACUAACCACUGUUGUUUCCAAGAUUGAAUAUGCACCACUAAUUUAACAAUACCUGGGGGCAGGGAGGAGAGAAGAAUCCCCAACACAUUCAACAUAUAACAUCUGUUAUAAGCUCAUUCCUACACCUCAUAGCUAAAGACCGCCUGAUCUUUCAAGAUUCAUGUCACAGUUAUCCCCUCCAAGAAGCCUUUUUUGACAGCCUUCCCCAGGACUGACCACUCCCUGUGUCACAACUGUACCUUGCACAUACUUUCACACCUAUUAAGUCUUUAUUCACAGACUGUAAGCAUCUCAUUAGCUGGAAUUACCUUAUUCAUCUCUGUAUUCCCUUAGUCUAGCUCUGUGCCUGGCAUUAAUUCACUCUAAAUAUUCACUGAAGACCUACCAUGUGCCUUGUACCCUACCAGACUGGCACUUGUUUGUUACACAGAAGAGUUCUCAGCAAGCAUCCACUCUGCAGUAACAUGGGAGAUAUAAAAUGAGGAUGUGGCAGUCUCUUAAUCCCUUCCAUUAGAGAUGGGAGCAGUGUAUGCCAUGCUGUAUUAGUCAGCUCAGGCUUCUAUAACAAAUACCGUAGACUGGGUGGGUGUGGGUUAAAUUGUAAUAUUUCCAGAAUAUCUCGCCUGGCUUUAGUAUAUCUGCAUAUUAAUAGGUGUUCAGUGGUGGAAAGAAAUAUGGCUUUAGUGCAUUUGCAUCAUUCCUCAAGAGUGGAGAGAAAUUUAUCUCCAUAUCAAUGGGUAAAUUACUUGGGCAACAGAGGGCUUUAUCUGUACCUGAAGGUGAGAAGGAGGCCCGGUUUUGCUUCUCCCAGAACAGGAAAGAGAGAAGGGCCCAGACUGCAGUUUGUAAGCAAUAAACAGGUUUUAAACUUUAUUUCUCCCUUUGAAUGAUUUCAGUUUUUAGAGGUAUUUUGCCCCAGGAUUUCCUCUCCCCAGACUAACACCUGGCAUAGUUGGCAGGGUUCCUCUGAACCCGAAAUCUGUUAUAAUGGGUGUGACCUUUGGGAGGGCCACCCCAAGAAAUGAUGGGGAGAAGUGGCGCUUGCGCUAAGAGACAUGUGUCUACAUUCGUGUGGUCGUAGUGGCACCACCACCGCUGCUGGCAGCGGCGACUCCGGCCCAUGGCCUGAGCCUAAGGCUACUGCUUCUGCCACUGCUGCUGCUCCUGCUGCGGGCUGGAGCCUGGCCACAACCAUGGAAAGGAGCAGAGGUCCGGGUCACCUUGAUAGAGAAGCAACUGGCUGCUGUGUACCACACCUUGCUGGCUACGGAACCCAUUGCCGGAACAGCUCCCACCAAGGUAAUAACCACCUAUCCUAUCGCUGGGUGGGUGAGAGACGGGACUCAAAGGCCACGGAGUGGUGUGGCACAGACACCUACUGUAUAUCAUGUGACUGGCCAUUUGCCUUUGGCAUCCCCAGGGAAUGAUGAAGCAGACGCAUUGGCCCAGGUGUGCUGGCUAGAAGGAAAGCCUGCCUCUGAUGUGGCCCAAUGGCUACAUCGACAUUUGUUGCAAGCGGGGCAAAAGACAAUGUGGGCUGUUGCCCAUUGGUGGGGCUUGCCACUGACCUUUGAAGAAGUCAGCUGAGCCUGGAAGGAGUACCCUGAACACUGUGCGGAUGAGCCAACCACUGAGAGGGGCCUAGAGCAUUUUUUUGCAGCCUAUGGCCAGUCACCGGUGAUUGAGACCGAUCAAGGCACCCACUUUACUGGACAUAUGUUGCAAGGAUGGGUGCAGCCAUUAGGAAUAAAAUGGACGUGGCCCUGGACAUUUCAGCACAUGGACUGGCGAUGGCUGGCUCUUCUGGCACCUUGGGGAAAAGGCCUGGAAGCUGGCCUCCCGUGUAUUACUGAAGUAACAGCAAAGUGGCCCCCCACAAUCAUGGUUAUUUGCUUCUACAGUCCUUGUGUCCUGGAUGUGCCCCCUGGCUGCAGCUGCCGCGUGAUGGCUGGAAUAGACGAGUUUUGGACUUAUUUGGCAUGGGACUUUGAACCUAGCUGAAUCCUCUGGCUUGAGAAUUAUGAUUAUAUUGCUGUUGUCAAGAAAAAAAUGCUUAAAGAGAGGCUUGACCUUGUCUAAUGUUUGGUAAAAGUUUUGUGAGCAAUCUAGCAUGGUUGUUAGGAAUGAGUAAACAAGUAUAGAAACAUGUUUUGUGCUUAGUGAGAGAUUGUGCUGUAAAGUACAUUUACUUAAUCUGCAUAGGCUGAAUCCUCUGGCUUGAGGAUUAUCAUUAUUUUAUUGUUGUUGCUAUUGUAUGUCAUUAAUUUGGUCGGAAGAAGGGGAACGAGUAAAUUGAGAGGCAAGAUUUCUGGAGGGGUGGCUUGUGGGUAAAAUUAUAAUAUUUCCGGAAUAUCUUGCCUGGCUUUAGUACAUCUGCAUAUCAAUAGGCAUUCAGUGGUGGAAAGAAGUAUGGCUUUAGUGCAUUUGCAUCAUUCCUCAGAGGUGGAGAGAAGUUCAUCUCUAUAUCAAUGGGUAAUUACCUGGGCAACCGAGGGCUUAUCCAUACUUGAGAGGUGAGGGGGAGGGCCAGUUUUGCUUCUACCAGAGCAGCAAAGAGAGAAGGGCCCAGAGUACAGUUUGGAAGCAAUAAACAAGUUUUCAACUUUA